CAGGUGCGACGGCGUGCCUAUUGAAGAAUGAACCGGCGAGUUAUUUUUUUCGGCGAGGUUAAGCGGCAGACGCGGAGCCGAAGCGAAAGCGAGUCUGAAUAGGGCGAGGAGUUAGUGGUAGUAGACCCGAAACCGUAGUGAUCUAUCCAUGGCCAGGUUGAAGCACAGGUAAAAUUGUGUGGAGGACCGAACUCGUGAGCGUUGAAAAGCUUUGGGAUGAGUUGUGGAUAGGGGUGAAAUGCCAAUCGAACACGGAGAUAGCUGGUUCUCCCCGAAAUAGCUUUAGGGCUAGCCUCGAGGUUGAGAGUAUAGGCGGUAGAGCACUGAUCGGGCUAGGGGCCAUACCGGUUACCGAACCUAGUCAAACUACGAAUGGCUAUACUUAUACUCGGGAGUCAGACAGUGAAUGAUAAGGUCCAUUGUCAAGAGGGAAACAGCCCAGAACACCGACUAAGGUCCCAAAUGUUACACUAAGUGGCGAAGGAUGUGGAAUUUCCAAAACAACCAGGAUGUUGGCUUAGAAGCAGCCACCAUUUAAAGAGUGCGUAAUAGCUCACUGGUCGAGAGACUCUGCGCCGAAAAUGUCCGGGGCUAAAGUGUAAAACCGAAGUCGUGUCAUAUGCAGCAAUGUAUAUGGGUAGGGGAGCGUUCUCAUCGGAUUGAAGCAGUACCGUAAGGAGUUGUGGACUGAUGAGAAGUGAGAAUGUCGGUAUGAGUAGCGAAAAGAAUGGUGAGAAUCCAUUCCACCGAAAGCCUAAGGGUUCCUGAGCAACGAUCGUCGUCUCAGGGUAAGUCGGGACCUAAGCCGAGGCGGAAAAGCGUAGGCGAUGGACAACAGGUUGAAAUUCCUGUACCGGUGUGAAUCGUUUGAUCGAUGGAGUGACACAGUAAGGUAGGUCAGCACGCGAUUGGAAGUGCGUGUUUAAGCAUGUAGGUUGAGCUAUAGGCAAAUCCGUAGCUCUAAAAGCUGAGAUGUGAUGACGAGUUACUAGCGAUAGUAACGAAGUGAUUGAUCCUACACUGUCGAGAAAAGCUUCUAGGUAGAGACACAUCGCCCGUACCAAAACCGACACAGGUAGGCGGGGAGAGAAUCCUAAGGUGCGCGGGAAAACCCUCGUUAAGGAACUCGGCAAAAUGCCUCCGUAACUUCGGGAAAAGGAGGACUCAUGUAGUGUGAAGGGCAGUAACGCGUGGAGCAUGAAUGAGUGGCACAAGAGAGGCGCAAGCGACUGUUUACCACAAACACAGGUGCCUGCUAAAGCGAAAGCUGAUGUAUAGGUGCUGACACCUGCCCGGUGCUGGAAGGUUAAGAGGAGGGGUUAGACUUCGGUCGAAGCUCUGAAUUGAAGCCCCAGUAAACGGCGGCCGUAACUAUAACGGUCCUAAGGUAGCGAAAUUCCUUGUCGGGUAAGUUCCGACCCGCACGAAAGGUGUAACGACUUGCGCACUGUCUCAACGAGGGACCCGGUGAAAUUGAAGUACCUGUGAAGAUGCAGGUUACCCGCGACUGGACAGAAAGACCCCAUGGAGCUUUACUGCAACC
rnacentral:rRNA from 1 species